ACGCUCGACACCUACUGGAGGCAGCAGUGGGGAAUAUUGCACAAUGGGGGAAACCCUGAUGCAGCGACGCCGCGUGAAGGAAGAAGUAUCUCGGUAUGUAAACUUCUAUCAGCAGGGAAGAAAAUGACGGUAUCUGACUAAGAAGCCCCGGCUAACUACGUGCCAGCAGCCACGGUAAUCUGAGCGGGCUGGCAAGGC
rnacentral:rRNA from 1 species